ACGAACGCUGGCGGCGUGCCUAACACAUGCAAGUCGAGCGAGAAAGGGGGGGGCAACCCCCCUGAGUAGAGUGGCGAACGGCUGAGUAACGCGUAAGUAACCUACCCUUAAGUGGGGGAUAACUUGCCGAAAGGCAGGCUAAUACCGCAUGUGCUGGUAAGCGCUAGCUUAUCAGCAAAGCUUUUGCGCUUGAGGAGGGGCUUGCGUCUGAUUAGAUAGUUGGUAGGGUAAUGGCCUACCAAGUCGAUGAUCAGUAGCUGGUCUGAGAGGACAACCAGCCAGACGGGGACUGAGAUACGGCCCUGACUCCUACGGGAGGCAGCAGCAAGGAAUUUUGCGCAAUGGGCGAAAGCCUGACGCAGCGACGCCGCGUGGGGGAUGACGGCCUUCGGGUUGUAAACCCCUUUUCAUGAGGAAGAAAUAUGACGGUACUCGUGGAAUAAGUCUUGGCUAACUACGU
rnacentral:rRNA from 1 species